rnacentral:rRNA from 1 species
CUUUUCCUACGGGAGGCAGCAGUGGGGGAUAUUGCACAAUGGGGGAAACCCUGAUGCAGCGACGCCGCGUGAGUGAAGAAGUAUUUCGGUACGUAAAGCUCUAUCAGCAGGGAAGAAUAAUGACGGUACCUGACUAAGAAGCCCCGGCUAACUACGUGCCAGCAGCCGCGGUAAUACGUAGGGGGCAAGCGUUAUCCGGAUUUACUGGGUGUAAAGGGAGCGUAGAAGGCUGUGCAAGUCUGAAGUGAAAUGCCGGGGCCCAACCCCGGAACUGCUUUGGAAACUGUCCAGCUAGAGUGCAGGAG